rnacentral:snRNA from 2 species
UAAAAGGGCCUUUGCAGUCACUUGCACGUGGGCCUGUCACGGGCCUGCGCGGAAUCGCCAUCAAGAGAUUUCGGAGGCAUAAUCUUUGGACUCUUUGGCAGUUGGCGCCACUGUUCGCCGACGCCCUA